CAAUGUGUUGUACAUAGUAACCCUUUGAAAACAGUUUUGUACUCACUCAAAAAACAUUUCUUUAUGGAGGAUCAAAGUUCAUGAUCAAAUGAACUGAACUACUUGUUCUUGGCAGGGAACAGCUCCCUCAGAGGCCCAACCAGGAUGAGGCAGAGCCUUUCAAGAGAGAUAAAGGAAAACAGCCAGCCCCCGUGGGUUCAUCUUUACAGCAUCUGAAACUAGGACAAGAGCCAAAUUUUCCAAAAUGCCAGAAGGGGUAACAAAGAAGUAACCAGUUGGAAGCUGAGGACUGGCAAAGUUCAAGACAAAAAUGAAGCUGUGAUAAAGUCCCUCAAGCUUCAUGUGGCUGUACCUCCAGAGGCACCUGAGGGUUCCUACACUCUGAGAGGUAGGUAUCUGAAAGCCUCAAGGAUUUUUAGUGUUUUUUUUGUUUGUUUGUUUUUAGGAACCACUGUUCUUCCAACUCCCAAUACUGAUCAGGAGGCAUAGAUUCCCACUACUCUAUGUGUGAUAAAAGGUUUCUAAUCAGGAAAAAGAAGACCUGGGAAGAAUUAUUAGAGUUGGUGGCAUCUGAUCCAGCCCUCAAAGUAUAAAACAUUGGUGAAUGUGUGUCUCAGAUACACACUAGGACCAAAACUGUGCUUUCUAAAUUGUUCACCUUCUGCCAUAUCCAUAGACAGAGGCUGCCAAACACCUGUUUCAAAGUAAGGAAAGAAAUUCAAAGAGAUGAACAGGAGGCACUUACAUUAAAAAGAAUGUAGGUUGUAUCUGUAUUUCCAACAUUUAGAAACUUAUAUUUGUGACUGUGACUCAGAUAAAAAAAGGUCUGUGAAUCUCCCCCCAAAUCAUCUCUUCCUUGCCCAGUAUCUUCUAUAAAAGAAAUGAACAUAUUCUUGAUUUUGAACACAUUCUGUGUGACAGAAACUGUUUUAAGUGAUUUCCACAUAUUAACUCAGAAUUUAAUUUAUGUCUCCAGAGGACAAUAAAUAGCUCUCUGAUAUGGCCUUCA
ensembl:lncRNA